rnacentral:rRNA from 1 species
CAAUAGCGUAUAUUAAAGUUGUUGCAGUUAAAAAGCUCGUAGUUGAAUUUUUGCUUGCCGCCGAUGUCGGAACUUCCGUACGUUCGGCGGCGUGCAUCCUUGGGUGGAACCUGUGUGGCAUUAGGUUGUCGUGCAGGGGAUGCUCAUCGUUUACUGUGAAAAAAUUAGAGUGUUCAAAGCAGGCUUACGCCGUUGAAUAUAUUAGCAUGGAAUAAUAAGAUAGGACCUUGGUACUAUUUUGUUGGUUUGCGCACCGAGGUAAUGAUUAACAGGGACAGUUGGGGGUAUUCGUAUUCCAUUGUCAGAGGUGAAAUUCUUGGAUUUCUGGAAGACGAACUACUGCGAAAGCAUUUGCCAAGGAUGUUUNCAUUG